GCAGAAGAAGCAUUGGAAACAGUCACGAAAACUCGGGAAAGGCAAGCAGAAGUUCUGUGUGGUGAAUUCACACCCCAUAGCAAAAAUCAAUAUCAAGAGCAUUCGCAGAAAAUUGCCAUCAAUUCGCGAUGAGUGAGAGAAAGUAUAGAAGACCAUUUAAUUUGCAAAUGUGAUGCAAUGACUAUGCAAAAGUGUCUUCAAAACGACAAAAAUACGGAAGUUUGUGUCUCUCCGCUGUGAACUUUCUCAACUGACGCUCAGUCAAAUUAAUAUUGAUAAAAAUGACUUCAAGCCAAAGCAGAAAGCGCCGCAAAGGGAAAAUCAGUGGCACAAAAGUAAAUGAAAGUAGUUCAAAUGCAGACAAUAUUGAGGAGCAACUUGCAAUGAGAAAUGAAAUAGAUGACGAUCCAAACUCGGGAUUUGCUAGCUAUUUGAAAUCAAGUCAAGGAUUGGACAUGAUGCGACUAUUCGUGGUGGCAAACUCACUUGUUGUAUUCAUCACGAUGGCUUGGCCGAGCAUAAAGGACACAUUUGAGAUCAUCAGGGAUUUCAUCUAUGGUGAAAAUCUUGAAGAUAUCUAAACUCCGUCCAAGUGUUAGUUGCGAACGAUGAAAAGAAAUGUCAGUGAAUUGAGAUGUUUCCCAUUAAGAUGAGGGCAAACGCAUGUCAAUUAAGCGGGGACAUAAGCGCGAUUAUUGUGGCAAAUAUUAAUUAAAAACAAUUAUCGUGCAUUACCACAGACUCUGGGUAAUUAAAUACAGUUUUAUGGUGUGUCUUCGCAUUCUUUCACACAUCAUAGCCCA